AACGAACGCUGGCGGCGUGCUUAACACAUGCAAGUCGAGCGAUGAAGUUUCUUCGGAAAUGGAUUAGCGGCGAACGGGUGAGGAACGCGUGAAGAAUCUGCCCUCCACUUUGGGAUAACACAGGGAAACCUGUGCUAAUACCGAACAUUGAAACAUAAGUGGCAUCACUGAGUUUUGAAAGAAUUUCGGUGGAGGAUGACUUCGCGGCCUAUCAGCCAGUUGGUGAGGUAAUGGCUCACCAAGGCAACGACGGGUAGCCGGCCUGAGAGGGCGACCGGCCACACGGGGACUGAGACACGGCCCAGACUCCUACGGGAGGCAGCAGUGGGGAAUAUUGGGCAAUGGAGGAAACUCUGACCCAGCGACGCCGCGUGCGGGAUGAAGGCCUUCGGGUUGUAAACCGCUUUCAGUAGGGAAGAAGCGAAAGUGACGGUACCUACAGAAGAAGCCCCGGCUAACUUCGUGCCAGCAGCCGCCGUAAAAC
rnacentral:rRNA from 1 species